rnacentral:rRNA from 1 species
CACGUAGGGCGCAAGCGUUGUCCGGAAUUAUUGGGCGUAAAGAGCUCGUAGGCGGACUGUCACGUCCGCUGUGAAAAAGCUAGGGCUUAACCCUGGCCUUGCAGUGGAUACGGGCAGACUAGAGGUAGGUAGGGGAGAAUGGAAUUCCCGGUGUAGCGGUGAAAUGCGCAGAUAUCGGGAGGAACACCGGUGGCGAAGGCGGUUCUCUGGGCCUUACCUGACGCUGAGGAGCGAAAGCGUGGGGAGCGAACAGG